GCUAAUAAAUUAUUCUUUCAAAGGAACGCUCAGGGCACCAAUAUAACUAAUGCAUUUCAUAGUUUUUGGACCUAUUAAUAUCAUGUUUUUUUGCAUGCUCAAAUCUUUAUAACCACACCCCCUCACUCCAGAAAAAAAACCUUCCCAAUCAAAUGUGCAUACACAGCUCAGCCAUUAACCAUACUGAAUGAUCUGAACUACAAAAACAACCAGCAUUAAAGGAGAAGACACCCAAGGAUGCAAAUAGUCUGCAACAAGGUUGUGCUUUUGGGGCCGAGACUGUGUGCAUAGAUUUGAUGAUGUCAUUCUGCAUAACGAGGCA